AUAGUUACCUGGCAGGGGAGACAUUAUGAUCAUUAAGGUGGUUUUCCCAGAGCGAGGCUUAUCCUUUGCACUCCGGAUGUGUUGACCUCUGCGAUUUCGCCUGUAAUC
ensembl:snRNA U1 U1 spliceosomal RNA